rnacentral:rRNA from 1 species
UUAUACGAGCGGUAGCGGAGCGUCGAUCUCGCUGAGAAGCGGCAGGGUAACCGGUCGUGGAGCGUGGUCGAGUGAGAAUGUUGGCAUGAGUAGCGAAAGAGGAGUGAGAAUCUCCUCCGCCGAAAAUCCAAGGGUUCCUGGGCGAGGCAAAUCCUCCCAGGGUAAGUCGGGAGCUAAGGCGAGGCCGAGAGGCGUAGUCGAUGCACAACUGGUUGAUAUUCCAGUACCACUUUAUGCGCGUCAAUUCUAAUUCGAGAUUGCUAAGGGGAUGUUCGGGUGUUUACACCCGAGACGAACCGACCCAUCUUGAGGCGGAAAGCUGUAGGGGGACGCAGGAAGGUAGAUGAGCCCGGGCGAUGGUUGUCCCGGGGUAAGCGUGUAGGGAGAGGUGUAGGCAAAUCCGCACCUCACAUAUCCUGAGACGUGACACCGAGUCGUUUAGACGAAGUCAUUGAUCCUAUGCUGCCAAGAAAAGCCCAGCAGUUAGUUCAUAGAGUGCCCGUACCCCAAACCAACACAGGUGGAUAGGUAGAGAAUACCAAGGCGAUUGGGUGAACUGUGGUUAAGGAACUCGGCAAAAUGUAUGCGUAACUUCGGGAUAAGCAUGACCUCAUUAGGGUGAUGGGACUUGCUCCCUGAGCUCGAAGAGGUGGCACAGAAUUGGGGGAAGCGACUGUUUACUAAAAACACAGCAGCGUGCUAAGCCGUAAGGCGCUGUAUACGCUGUGACGCCUGCCCGGUGCUGGAAGGUCACGGGGAAGGGUUAGCUCUUAGGAGCGAAGCUCUGAACCUAAGCCCCAGUAAACGGCGGCCGUAACUAUAACGGUCCUAAGGUAGCGAAAUUCCUUGUCGGGUAAGUUCCGACCUGCACGAAUGGCGUAACGACUUCCCUACUGUCUCAACCACAGACCCAGCGAAAUUGAAGUACGAGUAAAGAUGCUCGUUAGCUGCAGAAGGACGGCAAGACCCCGUGGACCUUUACUAUAGCUUGAUAUUGAGUUUUGUUAUGCGUUGUGUAGGAUAGGUGGGAGGCUAGGAAGCAUGCACGCCAGUGUGUGUGGAGCCAACCUUGAAAUACCACCCUGCGUAUGGCGGGACUCUAACCUAGAUCCGUUAUCCGGAUCGGGAACAGUGUCAGGUGGGUAGUUUGACUGGGGCGGUCGCCUCCUAAAGAGUAACGGAGGCGCCCAAAGGUUCCCUCAGACUGGUUGGCAAUCAGUCGUCGAGUGCAAUGGCAUAAGGGAGCUUGACUGCGAGACGUACAUGUCGAGCAGGUGCGAAAGCAGGGCAUAGUGAUCCGGCGGUUGCGUGUGGAAGCGCCGUCGCUCAACGGAUAAAAGGUACCCCGGGGAUAACAGGCUAAUCUUCCCCAAGAGUCCAUAUCGACGGGAAGGUUUGGCACCUCGAUGUCAGCUCAUCGCAUCCUGGGGCUGAAGCAGGUCCCAAGGGUUGGGCUGUUCGCCCAUUAAAGCGGUACGCGAGCUGGGUUUAGAACGUCGCGAGACAGUUCGGUCCCUAUCCUCUGCAGCCGGAAGUGACUUGAGAAUAGCUAUCCCUAGUACC